GCCAGCCGGCUUGGCUCAUGCAAUCUCCAACAUGUGGUUUUCCAAUCUUUCCUUGAACAGCCUCACUGAUGGGGCCUCAACUACCUCCCUUGGAAGCCCAUUUCACAUCGGAGGGGUCCUAGCAUAUUCCUGCUGACUUUGAGGUUAUACUGUUCUGUGAUAUAGAACUUGGGAUAUUGAACCCUUCAGCCCAAAUUAACAUGACCAGUGGUGAGGGGUGAUGGAACUUGUAGUCUGGCAACACCUGAAAGACCACACGUUUUCCACUUCUCAAACAAGCUCAGCUGAGUGACACAGUAAUUCUUUGGUUGAUCUUAAUGGUCAAGCUCACUCUUGUGGGUGCAGACAGUCCUUCCUUAAAACAAUUUGGCCACCAGCUGUGUAGUUUUAGACUAGAACAUUUUAAAAUGGGCACUGAGAUUCGCUAACAACCAAUGCUGUUGCCACAUGUUCUGAUCAGUUAGCUUACACAAGCAACUGGAUAGCUGCAUUUUGCAGGAGGGGUACAUCUGAACAGCAUUUAAAGGCAAUCCCAUAAAGUGUGUGUUUUGGUAGUCCAAGUAUUGUAUGGGAGUGCCUGCUUUCAGGAUGGGCUGAAAGGCACUGAUCCUAAACAUUAUUUGAGAUAGUUGCAAAAUUUGUUUAGGAUGACAGCACAAUAUUAACAAAAAUUUAUAGGUUGCUUCCCUAAAAAUUUUCCAAUGCAAUUCACAAAGAAGCAAGGAAGUCAAAAGCAGGAAUGUACAAUCCGCACAAACCAUGAAGAACGACAAACCAAGCGUUAAAAUUGGUAAAAAAAAAAAAAUGGGAGGAGAAAAAGGCUUCCUAGCUCAUCCAAAGCUUAAGAGGAAGGGAACCAGCCCAACCCCUUGGGACAGGGAUUUCCAGGGUCUGGAUCCUGCAUCGAAAAACACUCAGACUCCUGUGAAAGGGUAAGGUGCAGCUGCUGAACAUCAUGGGAGGACAAGACUGGCCAGGCGAUAGUGCCUCAACUAGCUGUCAGGUUUGAGGAACUCCUGGGCAAAGGGCCCUAAUUAGCUGCGUCCGCAGUCAGUAGGCCUCGCUGGACUUAUUUUGACUGGUGGUAGCAGCACUGGGGCUUGGUAGUCGGAAGACGCUUAGCUGCUAUUUUUAUUUCCAUAAUGCUACAUUGGCGGCAUUUGAGAGUGGAUAAUUAAAGACCUAGCAAUGGCUCCAUCCUUAAACAUUCUGGUUCCCUACCGUUUACCAAAUACCAUUCCUUUGGUAAUACUGCGGGUCGUCUCCCGCUCGCAUCCCGCACUUUCCCCCUCAGGCAGCGCUCUUGUUUUAGCAAUGGCGCGACAGUCAGGAAUGCAACAGGCGUCAUUUCCAUUUUCAGUCGGCUAAGGUGGGUGCUCGAGGGACUAACCAGAUCGCGGUCGGCUCCGAAGCGCCCGAAAAAGCCGAAGCGCCCGAAACGCGGCGCCUUAGCAGGCGGAAGCAAAGGCGGAGCUUUGGUCGUCUAUUUGUAGCAGCCACGGAACGGGGGCCGGGCUGAGCGCUCCUCUCUCGUCUAACCGUUUGCACGUGCGGUUUCCGAGCCGAAGGCGCGAUGGAUGUGGGCGCUGCGCAGUUUGAGGAAAAGCUGCCCAGGUUGCAGGAGCUGCUCCUUGGCUGUGAUUUUGUCGGCCUUGACAUGGAAUUCACUGGUUUGCAUUCAGUCUUUUCGCCUGAGGGAGAGCCCAGUCUCUUUGAUUCACCUUCUGAGUGGUAUCGAAAAGCCAGAUGGAGCGUUCAGCAGUUCACAGUGAGUCAGCUUGGUUUGUCAAUAUUCUGCAAUGAAAGGUCAAACAAGUAUGUGGCACAUUCAUAUAACUUUUUCCUCUUCCCCAUGACAUUUGGCCAAAAGGAUUCUGAGUUCUCUUUCCAAGCAACUAGCGUUCAGUUCCUGUCUCAUUAUGGUUUUGACUAUAACAAGUUUCUUAAAGAUGGGAUCCCAUACAUGAAUAAGACACAGGAGGAGAAAUUUCAGCAUCUGUUACCUGGUAGUUGGAUGAUCCGUAGUGGUUUUGGCAAGGACAAGCUAAAACAAGUGAUCGAUGAGGUAACACGCUGGAUAUCCUUAGCAGAAGAGGAAGAUUCUAUGGUUUUGCAAGAUUUAUAUGGUUUCCAGCUAUUUGAAAUACAGUUGAUCUUAAGGCAAGCUAUCCAAGAUAUUUGGACAGUCCCUUUGGGAGGUCAAGAGGUGAUGGUGAUAAAGUUGAAUCCACAGCAGCGUUGGUUGCUGCAGAACACUUCCUAUGACUCCUGUCGGAGAGAGCAAAUUCUUCUCUCUGCAAGAGGCUUUACCAACCUUUUCCAGACUCUUGUCGAAGCAAGAAAGCCCCUGGUGGGACACAAUAUGUUGAUGGAUCUUCUGCAUUUACAUGAGAAGUUCUACAAGUCUCUUCCUGAAAGCUAUGAGAUGUUUAAAAAGAACAUACACACCCUGUUUCCUGUUCUCUUGGACACAAAGAACAUAACAAAAGCUUUCUGGAAGGAGUUCCAGUUUCCUCAGGCUUCUACUCUAUUGGAGAUUGAUGAAGUACUGUGCAGCAGCUCCCUGAGUGGCACAGCACAGUCUUGUCCAGAGAUCUUCCACGCGAGCGACUGCCUCAGAUAUGCUACACAGAAGUCUCCACAUGAAGCAGCCUAUGAUGCAUUUCUUUGUGGAUCAGUUCUUCUUAAAAUUGCCCACUUGCUUCUUUCCAGAAGUUCUUGUGAUCCAGCAAGGAGUACUCCCACUUUUUCACAGUACCUUGAUGUCCUGGCUACAUAUGUGAAUCAGGUGAAUCUUAUCCGAGCCAGUGUUCAGAAUAUUAAUUUUUCUGGCACAGAUGACUGUACAAGACGUCCGCCUUGCCUAAUAGCUUAUGUACAUGGCUGGCCUGGGGUGAAUGAGGAGCAAAUCCAUCGGGAGUUAAAAACCCUCUGCAGAUUUGAUGUGCGACGCCUAAGAACAAACCAAUUUCUCUUGCUCUCCAAUAAGUUUAAAGAUGUCAAGAUGGUUUUGAGAGAAUAUAAAGGUCAUCCCAACAUUCAGAUCUCCCUGUACCAUUACUGGAGGCAUUCUCCACAAGUGAAUUGCUUCUUGCAAGUUUGUGGCAUUGUGGCCUCUUGGGCUCUGAUGGCGCUCUUGCUUGGAGGCUCUUCCAGCUGUGCUAUAUGAUGGACCAUCUUCUGGAAAAAAUGUCUUUUCUCUACUGCUUGGCCCCCUCUCCCUCCUCAUUGUAUCACAGGAUGGGCAAUGCAUGGCCUGCUUUUCUGCACCACUGACCUGCUUAGUAUGGAUACUAAAGUUGCCGUGAUACAAAGAGA